UUCUGAAAACACUACAUAACAAAUUUUCACUUUUGUCUUGUUCCUGGGUUAAAACCAUAAUUUCCCAUUCCUUCACAACCAAUCAAAAGAGAAAAGAGUGGUCUUGACCUCCAAACUUUGGUUUUGUGGUCAGGACAAGAAAUUGCAACUUAACCAGUUUUUGCAUUCACUGAGUGGUCACUACUAAUUUCUGGAAAAGUUAAGUCCAUUUGUCAGAGUUGUGGUCAUCAUAUUUUCUUUUUGUGAUCAUGUCAAAAGGGUUCAAACAUCAUUU